rnacentral:lncRNA from 1 species
AAAGGAAAAAUCGUAUGCAUUUUUGCGACUCUAUUGAUCAUUGCAUUAAAUUUCUUACGCAGAUGUCCAGUUGGUUGCAUGUGUGUUGGCUCCCAUUCUACUUUAUAUCUUUCACCUUGUUUGGGGUGAUCUUCCGGAUGAUCUAAGUUUCUACCUCUUCUGUUUGGUAGACUCAAUUCUGAAAUAAAAACUAAUGAGUCAAUAAAUACUCAUAAAUCAAUCAAUUAUAUAAUGAGUCAAUUAGUUAGUUACCAUCAUUAUCUCUGAGGUCCGAGUCGGAGUCGGAAUUAGAUUGACUCAUUGCUGAUGGUACUUGAGUAGUUGGAGUACUCGUACCUUGAGGAGUUGGAGUUUUAAUUUGAUUUGGAGUUGGAGUUGGAUUACUCGAACCUUGAGGAGUUGGAGUUGGAAUUUGAGGAGUUGAAGUACUUGGAGUCGAAGUUGCAGUCGGAACAUGAGUACUUGCAGAAGGUUCUUCAUGGUCGACAGAACUUCGUGUAAGUCGUUGUUUUUUACUAGCCAAUACUUUUUGGGUGCCAUUUAUAAUCUGCGAACAAAACAAAAUAUUCAGCACUUAAAAUCAAUAAAAACAGAAAAAUACUUAAAUUACAAAAUUACUCACAAAUAAUAUAUAAGCAAUCCAUAAUUAGGCACUACAAAUCUCGAGGUGGCCUUUUCAAUACAACACUCCAAUCUAAUUUUUUAGGAUCAUCCACAUAGAAACAUUGUUGUGCUUGUGCUGCCAAGAUAAAUGGUUCGUCUUGGUGUUUUAAUCGUUUAGUGUUUAUAGAUAUAAUACCAAACGUAUCAACUUGUAUUCCAUUUGUAGAUUGGCCAUCAAACCAAUUACAAUGAAAGAGUGUUUCUACAUGAUUUGGUCCAUAUUGUAGUUCAACAACAUAAUUUAAUCUUCCAUAAUAGUUUUGUCGAUUCACUAUUGGGUUUACAUCUCUAACACUUAAAUAACAUGAUGUCUCGGCCGACACUAAAAUCCCAUCAUUUUGAGUCUUUAGUUUCACCGAACUCGACGUACAAAGAAACUUAAUACCAUUCAUUCUAUAUUUUCAAAUCUAAAUUAGAUCAUAGACUUUGAACAAACUAUAUAAUAUUUUCAAUAAAAACUCUUUCCGAAUUAAAAAGAUAACAAAUUAAUUCUUAAUAAUAAACUCUAAAUUUGAACAAACAUAUAUAUUACAUCAAACACUGAAAAAUAUAUCAUCAAAUCACUUGAUUUAAAACGUUUGAACUUACCUGUUUUAUACUUUUGAGAAAAUUAAUCCUGGAAAUAUAAGGUCAGAACUAGCCGAUAUAUAUGGAGAUAUGAGCUACUUUGAUGAUCAAAGAUAUGAGCUACUUUGCUGAAUUAGUUGGACAGUUCGUCGUGACUGGGAAAGAAAGAGAUGGAAGAAAUCCAUUAGAUCUAAGAAUUAAUAAUUAAUAUAUGUUGCUCUGCAGGACAUCUAAGAAUUAAUAAUUACUUUAAAAAAAGUAAUGAAA